rnacentral:rRNA from 1 species
UGAUCCUGGCUCAGGACGAACGCUGGCGGUGUGCUUCACACAUGCAAGUCGAACGGAGUAGCAAUACUCAGUGGCGGACGGGUGAGUAACACGUGGGAAUCUACCAUUAGAUGGGGAAUAACAGGCCGAAAGGACUGCUAAUGCCGCAUAUGUAUGUGCCUCGACAGGGGCGUAUAUGAAAGGAGUAAUCCGUCUGAUGAUGAGCCCGCGUCCGAUUAGCUAGUUGGUAAGGUAAAAGCUUACCAAGGCGACGAUCGGUAGGUGGUCUGAGAGGAUGAUCACCCACAAUGGGACUGAGACACGGCCCAUACUCCUACGGGAGGCAGCAGUGGGGAAUUUUACGCAAUGGGGGAAACCCUGACGUAGCGACACCGCGUGAGCGAAGAAGCCCUUUGGGGUGUAAAGCUCUGUCAACAGGAACGAAAAAAAUGACGGUACCUGUGGAGGAAGCAUCGGCUAACUACGUGCCAGCAGCCGCGGUAAGACGUAGGAUGCAAGCGUUGUCCGGAUUUAUUGGGCGUAAAGAGUUCGUAGGCGGUUUGUUAAGCCUGAUGUUAAAGACCGGGGCUCAACCUCGGAAAUGCAUUGGAUACUGGCAGACUGGAGUGCAGUAGAGGCUAGUGGAAUUCCCAGUGUAGCGGUGAAAUGCGUAGAUAUUGGGAAGAACACCGGUGGCGUAGGCGACUAGCUGGGCUGUAACUGACGCUGAGGAACGAAAGCCAGGGGAGCAAAUGGGAUUAGAUACCCCAGUAGUCCUGGCCGUAAACGAUGGAUACUAGGCGUAGUGGGUAUCGACCCCUGCUGUGCCGCAGCUAACGCGAUAAGUAUCCCGCCUGAGUAGUACGGCCGCAAGGUUGAAACUCAAAUGAAUUGACGGAUCCCGC